AUUUGAGCCAAGGCUGGAAGCCAGGAGACAGAGACAGAGUCCCAUCUCACCACUAAUAGUUGUGUGACUUGGAGGUGGAAAGUGACACAACUGAAUGAUGAUUUUCUUGGUAACAUUUGGAAGGGCCACGAGAGCUGCUGGGAUUGGGCUUGCUGUGUUUCCUUGAUGAAUUUCACCUUUAAAGGAGCUUGCUGCAUGAGAGAGGCUGUCUUGCCUUUAAAUUCAUUCUUCAAGUUCGUCCCGGAGGGCAUCGUUUUUCCUGCCUUGAGGAAGCAACAACAAAUAACCCAGGAAAAACACUGCAUAAACAUGGCAUCCAAAGAGAGGAAGCAGAGACAUGAUGCACCAACUACUACUUUAGUAAUUGAAGAGAGAGAGAAGAGCCUGAAGUCAUUCAAUAAUUAGAUCAAAUAAUUUACUAAUGGAUCAUUUGUCUUCCCUUCCAAUGUAAGUUUAAAUUCUUAUUACAGAGAGGGACAAGGAAAUUGUGGAAAAAACACAAAGAAUUUGAGACUCCUAGAACCUAAAUAUUGGCCCAACUACAAGUACCAGAAAAUCAAAAUUCCAAUACAUUGAACAAACAGGAGUUCAUCUUUUUCUCCAGGUAGGUAGGCAAGUAUAGAGCUCCAUGGCAACAUCAAUGACUCAGGAUCCUUUUAUCUUUCUAUUCCAGCUUCCUUAGCAAGUUGGCUAAUUGCUCCAUGGUCACAAGAUAGCUGCUGAAUCUCUAGAAAUCAUUCCCAAGUCCCAUUCAGGAAGAAAAUAAAAGGGUGCAUUGGCUUUUUCUGUUUCCCUCUUCUCAGAACUCUCUCAGCAGACUUUCACUUACGUGUUAUAUAGUCCAGAACUGGAUGGCAUGGCUCCCCACCGUGUGCAAGGGAGAUUCAACAGGAUUUGGUUUUUCAGCCUCUGUUGGGAGAGACCAAGAGACAGAAGGAGACUGGGUAACACUGUCCACCGUAACCACUUAGUAUAGUGAUAACUCUGGGCAAAUAUUAAUUACUACUGGGCUAGUUGAAAGUUUCUGGGAAGCAAAUCAGUUGCUAAGCACAUGCUCUAUGAGAACCCAUAAUAUAAAUAAGAAGAAGAAAAAAGAAGGUUUAAAUGUUGGCUUACUUAGAGGAAUGCCUAGUUUCUUCUCUAUCACUGUGGUAACCACUAGGUUACAACUGUUACCUUUUCUCACAGAAAGACAAUUCCAAAACAGACCUCAAAUGAAAAUGCUACACAAAUAAUGGAUUAAUUGGGUACCAUUUCUACUCUUCUCAUCAUGUUUUACAAGCAGUUGAAAUAAUAUGUGCCCUUCCCAGUCCCUUUUUAGUAUUUGUCAGUAGAAUAGAGUGUCAAAAACGACUUACGAUGCCUAAAACAUUUAGAAAUUAAAAUAGCAUGUGGUGGUGCCAUGACCUUUUCAAUAUGCUGGUGUUUCAAUUGUUCAGCCAUUCCUCUUGUUCUUUUUCCUGACUGUUCUUUAUCAGAGGAAAAGGUAAAUUGGCACCUCAAGUAUGGAGUACUCAAAGGAACUAAACAGCACAUUAUUGAAACAAUUCAGAGGCAAUCCCGCAUAGCUUCCAAGUGCCAUGGAAACAAAAGAUGGUAACUUUAUUAAUUGUGAAAGGUUGGGGGAACGAAUUUAGUAUCUUGCUUUGCCAGUUUUCCUCUAGUGCACAGUAUAGUUUCCAGGACCUGCAUACAAACAUCAGUUCAUGAUCAAAAUGUGACCUUGCCUGUCCCGAUGAAUAAAACUAAUAAAUUCCCCAAUGAUAUGCUUAUUAUGCUUCUCUGAGGGAAGAUGGUUGCUUUCGUGUCAUUGUGGUUCCAUAAUAUCUCUUGGAAGGAGGCUUCUGAGGAUGCCCAAGCUGCUCCUCUGGGUUUCCCUAACACCCUGCAUGCGCUCAUCGUGUAGAAAUUGCCACAUAGCGUUACAGGUUUCUGUUCACUUAUUUCGUCUGCCCAGUGGGAAUGUGAUUUCCUGAAGAGCACCUAGCACAUGCCUAAAACACAAAAGGACUUCACUAAACAUUUGCUGAAUAACUACCACCUGUGCCAAGAAGCAGACCGGCUUCCGCUACAACUGACAGCCCUUCUCUCCUGCUAGUCAGAGAUUCUCUGUCUUGGAAGAGACUUUAGGAAACAGCAGACAUCUUGGAUGUGUGCCUGCCUGCAUUACCACCUUCUCCAGUUUUAUCCUAAAGCUGACUUCAGUACAGCUCUCCCCAAACUGUGGAAACUUUGGAUGACUACCUAAGAACUCCACAAACUCAAGCAGCUUUAAAGCCACUCUGCAACUUUCCUACAAUGAAAGAGGAGGCAGGUACCAUUCUCAGAUAAUACCGAUGAAUUCAGAAACCAAAAUAAAUCUGAAAAAAUGUAGUGCUUCACACUUACAUUUAUACCCUUCUCCCUUCUUGCUUUAUUCCCCAGAAGUGAGUAGCUCCUGAAACUGAUAGCCAAGAGAUGUUCAGGAAGAACCUGUCCCCAAACAGGUGUUUGCACACCCAAGUUAUGUAGGUGUCGGAGUAGAG
rnacentral:lncRNA from 10 species